CCUACGGGAGGCAGCAGUGGGGAAUAUUGGGCAAUGGGCGCAAGCCUGACCCAGCAACGCCGCGUGAAGGAAGAAGGCUUUCGGGUUGUAAACUUCUUUUAAGAGGGAAGAGCAGAAGACGGUACCUCUUGAAUAAGCCACGGCUAACUACGUGCCAGCAGCCGCGGUAAUACGUAGGUGGCAAGCGUUGUCCGGAUUUACUGGGUGGAAAGGGCGUGCAGCCGGGAAGACAAGUCAGAUGUGAAAUCCCGCGGCUCAACCGCGGAACUGCAUUUGAAACUGUUUUUCUUGAGUACCGGAGAGGUCAUCGGAAUUCCUUUUGUAGCUGUUAAAUGCGUAGAUCUCAGGAAGAACACCAGUGGCGAAGGCGGAUGACUGGACGGCAACUGACGGUGAGGCGCGAAAGCGUGGGGAGCAAACAGGAUUAGAUACCCGGGUAGUC
rnacentral:rRNA from 1 species